AUGGCAACAACUAAUGCUGGUGUUCAUGAAUUAUUGCCGCAUGCCGAUGGAUUAAAGGAAGAGAAUUCCCUAGACGUGCAUAUUUGCAUGCAAGGUGAAAGGGUAUUAAAUCAAGGCAAGGAGUUUGCUUCCAAAACUGAUCAGACUCAGUUUGGCAAGGAGUUCACUAAUUUCUGGAAAGAGUGUGGAGCCUACGUUGAUGCAAGGGACCUUUGGAUUUGUGAUUUAUUUGGUCCAAUCAAAAAUAUAAGAUGCAGAGAUUUCUUGCCAUUCGCACGUAAAGAAAAGAUUGUCAAUCGCAUCAACAGACCAUGCAAGAUUAGAGACGUGCUUUGCUUGAGAGGAUGUGGAUGGGGUCCACCGUACAAGCAGAUCACGUACGAGGAGAUGGUGCACCUAUUUUUAAAGGAAUCAAGUUUAAGUCCGUAUGUUAGUUUUAGAAGUAAUAGACAAAGCUAUCUAUUGAGAUGUAAAAGUCAAAUACCUUUACGUUUUAGGAGAGCCCAUAUUUUAUUUGAGUCAGAGAUAGGGUCGUGUCCUUAUUUUUGCAAGUCUAGACGUGGGCUGUUAAUAGCCAUGGUGCGGCAAUGUAAAGGGGGAGGCUAUAUUUUGAUAAUAAACACGAUGUGUUUUUAG
rnacentral:rRNA from 1 species